ensembl:lncRNA
GACUCUGACUCACUACUCGAUUGCUAACAGCCUCUAUAGCUGUGAUGAGCCUCUCCGCAUCAAGAGCAUCACGAGUCUGGUCUCUGCCUCGUCCUGUCUUUCUCCUGCUCUUUCCUGCUGCCUGCUCCUCGGCCUGUGGUGCUAGCUGGUCAGCGGCCUGUGGUGCUAGCUGGUCAGCGGCCUGUGGUGCUAGCUGGUCAGCGGUCUGUGGUGCUAGCUGGUCAGCGGCCUGUGGUGCUAGCUGGUCAGCGGUCUGUGGUGCUAGCUGGUCAGCGGCCUGUGCUCUCCCUGGUGCCUCCUGGUGCUCGACCGUUGCUCUACCUGGUGCUGCCUGGUCUGUGUCAUCCUCACCCUCACUCACUGGCCCUGCCAUGUUGGUCUGGCUAUGGCGGUCUUCCAUGAAUGGAUCUAUGAAGGCCAUUAUGCGGGCAUACUUCCAUGGCUUCCCUCCACCUGCCCCUGCACCACUCUUCCUCCUUUCCUUUUCCUUUUUCCUAUUCUUCCUGUAGGUGUCCCUGAGACCCUUCCAUUUCUUGAUGCACUCAUUAACUAUUGAACACAAAACAGAAAACACAGCUGUCAUUAUCAUUAUAUAUGUCACUUACAGCAAUAUAUUGUUUCACUUCUUAUGUCAAAUGACUUAUUGUAAGUUGCUUCGGAUAUAACCAGACCAACCAACCACGCGUGACACCUCCGCCCAGGCCAGAGCCUUGGCGUUUCGAUCUCUGAACUGAAAAAGGGUUGGGUCGUACAACACCGGGUGCCCAGUUACUGCCGCGAUUAAUACUUCAGCCGACAUUUUGUUCGGUGAGUGAAUAAAGGUAGGUAGGAACCAAAGUAUGGGGUCUUCUGGGGUAUUUUUUUUUUGUCUGAUGAAGAAAAGCAACGCUAUUCCCAAAAAAUUGACAUUUUAGGUUUUGAUCCAUAUUUACUUCCCAAUCGACUACUGACCCCGCUGAAAUCUGUCGUUAUCUUGCCCAACAUGUCUUUUGGCGACAUUUACAUUUACCUCGUCCACAAUCCUUCUCCAUACACCGGGGAGUCCCUCAAGGCAUACAAAAGCACGGAAGCUUACAUGUAUUUUAAAUCAGGAUGGGUGAAUGAUCCUCGAGUUCAUCAUCUGGAGAUGAAGAAGCUGUUCCUUUUUACAGGAAAGUGACCCCAACACAUCCCUGGAUCACAGUACAAGAGGAUGGGACAGUACUCAUGGCUCAUUGCACCUGUAAGGCAGGCCUAGGAGAGGUCUGCUCUCAUGCAGCAGCUCUUCUGUACUCUGUGUUGGCUGCUGCUGAUAUGAAAAACGGGCAGGCUUGCACGGAGAAGCCCUGUGCUUGGGCUCAGACAAGUAUGAACUCUGUCAGAGGGGUCCCAUAUGAAGAGAUCUGCAACAUCAGUUUCUCUAAUAAACAAGAGCCAUGUUCAAGCUCCCAAAAUCAAGGUCCUGGUCUUCCUGAUAUCAGACCAUCAGAUAAAGACUGCCAGGCAUUCUUUGAGGCGCUUCAUAAUAGUGAAUUGCGGGAGUCCAAACCAAAGAAGAGUGCCAUCCUCUCUGUCAUUGAGGGCCACUCCCAGAGGUAAGAUACUGCACUGUUUCAAAA